UAUUCACAGUCACUAUUUAGGUCCAUUUCUUUCUGUCCGUCAGCCUGGGAACAUCAACUUUCAUUGUUAUCUACGCCCUUGCUGCUCAUUCUCCAUGAUCACCUGCCACGCACCUUGCUAUUCUUGCCUCCUGUUUUUGUUGUCACAGGGGCGUCAUUAAGUGAUUGAUGACGUCAUCAGUGCUGGGACUUACUCAUAAGGAAUACUACGGAAGACGAUGUGGUCCAAUAAGGUGAUCUGUUCUGCCAGCUCCAUUGCUGACAGCGACUCAAAACACUCCGCCUUUGGAUUCUCCGUCUACACACACACACACACACACACACACACACACACACACACACACACACACACACACACACACA